rnacentral:rRNA from 1 species
GCGAACGCUGGCGGCAGGCUUAACACCUGCAAGUCGAGCGGGCAUCCUUGUGGUGUCAGCGGCAGACGGGUGAGUAACGCGUGGGAACGUGCCCUUCGGUUCGGAAUAACUCAGAGAAACUUGAGCUAAUACCGGAUACGUGCGAGAGCAGAAAGGUUUAUCUGCCGAAGGAUCGGCCCGCGUCUGAUUAGCUAGUUGGUGAGGUUACGGCUCACCAAGGCGACGAUCAGUAGCUGGUCUGAGAGGAUGAUCAGCCACACUGGGACUGAGACACGGCCCAGACUCCUACGGGAGGCAGCAGUGGGGAAUAUUGGACAAUGGGGGCAACCCUGAUCCAGCCAUGCCGCGUGAGUGAUGACGGCCUUAGGGUUGUAAAGCUCUUUUCUCCGGGACGAUAAUGACGGUACCGGAGGAAUAAGCCCCGGCUAACUUCGUG